rnacentral:rRNA from 1 species
GGUGAGUAACACGUGCUUAAUCUACCUUUUAGAUUGGAAUACCUAAUGGAAACAUUGGUUAAUGCCGGAUACGCAUGAAGUCGCAUGACUUCGUUGUGAAAGGAGCGUUUGCUCCGCUAAGAGAUGAGGGUGCGGAACAUUAGCUAGUUGGUGAGGUAAUGGCCCACCAAGGCUAUGAUGUUUAGCCGGGUCGAGAGACUGAACGGCCACAUUGGGACUGAGAUACGGCCCAAACUCCUACGGGAGGGCAGCAGUAGGGAAUAUUCCACAAUGAGCGAAAGCUUGAUGGAGCGACACAGCGUGCACGAUGAAGGCCCUCGGGUUGUAAAGUGCUGUUGCAAGGGAAGAACAGUUAGUUGAGGAAAUGCUUCUAAUCUGACGGUACCUUGUUAGAAAGCGAUGGCUAACUAUGUGCCAGCAGCCGCGGUAAUACAUAGGUCGCAAGCGUUAUCCGGAAUUAUUGGGCGUAAAGCGUUCGUAGGCUGUUUAUUAAGUCUGGAGUCAAAUCCCAGGGCUCAACCCUGGCUCGCUUUGGAUACUGGUAAACUAGAGUUAGAUAGAGGUAAGCGGAAUUCCAUGUGGAGCGGUGAAAUGCGUAGAUAUAUGGAAGAACACCAAAGGCGAAGGCAGCUUACUGGGUCUAUACUGACGCUGAGGGACGAAAGCGUGGGGAGCAAACAGGAUUAGAUACCCUGGUAGUCCACGCUGUAAACGAUGAUCAUUAGUCGGUGGAAAACUACUGACGCAGCUAACGCAUUAAAUGAUCCGCCUGAGUAGUAUGCUCGCAAGAGUGAAACUUAAAGGAAUUGACGGGGACCCGCACAAGCGGUGGAGCAUGUGGUUUAAUUUGAAGAUACGCGGAGAACCUUACCCACUCUUGACAUCCCCUGCAAAGCUAAGAG